CAUGCUAGUUGCGCGACUUAGAUCGCAGCGGAAGCUCAGUAACACGUGGCCAAACUACCCUGCAGAGGAGCAUAAUCUCGGGAAACUGAGGCUAAUACUCCAUACCGCACUCACGUUGGAAUACCGAGUGCCCAAAACGCUUCGGCGCUGCAGGAUGUGGCUGCGGCCGAUUAGGUAGACGGUGGGGUAACGGCCCACCGUGCCGAUAAUCGGUACGGGUUGUGAGAGCAAGAGCCCGGAGACGGAAUCUGAGACAAGAUUCCGGGCCCUACGGGGCGCAGCAGGCGCGAAACCUUUACACUGCACGACAGUGCGAUAAGGGGACCCCAAGUGCGAGGGCAUACAGUCCUCGCUUUUGUGUACCGUAAGGUGGUACACGAAUAAGAGCUGGGCAAGACCGGUGCCAGCCGCCGCGGUAAUACCGGCAGCUCAAGCGAUGACCGAUUUUAUUGGGCCUAAAGCGUCCGUAGCUGGCCGCGUAGGUUCGUCGGGAAAUCCAUCCGCCCAACGGAUGGGCGUCCGGCGAAAACCACGUGGCUUGGGACCGGAAGGCUCGAGGGGUACGUCCGGGGUAGGAGUGAAAUCCCGUAAUCCUGGACGGACCGCCGAUGGCGAAAGCACCUCGAGAAGACGGAUCCGACAGUGAGGGACGAAAGCUGGGGUCUCGAACCGGAUUAGAUACCCGGGUAGUCCCAGCCGUAAACAAUGCCUGUUAGGUGUGGCACCGACUACGAGUCGGUGCUGUGCCGUCGGAAGCCGAUAAACAGGCCGCCUGGGAAGUACGUCCGCAAGGAUGAAACUUAAAGGAAUUGGCGGGGGAGCACUGCAACCGGAGGAGCCUGCGGUUUAAUUGGAUUCAACGCCGGGA
rnacentral:rRNA from 1 species